rnacentral:rRNA from 1 species
AGAGUUUGAUCCUGGCUCAGGAUGAACGCUGGCGGCGUGCUUAACACAUGCAAGUCGAACGAACCUUCGGGUUAGUGGCGGACGGGUGAGUAACGCGUGAGAAUCUGCCCUCAGGAGGGGGAUAACGGCUGGAAACGGCCGCUAAUACCCCAUAUGCCGAGAGGUGAAAUGAAUUUCGCCUGAGGAUGAGCUCGCGUCUGAUUAGCUUGUUGGUGGGGUAAUGGCCUACCAAGGCGACGAUCAGUAGCUGGUCUGAGAGGAUGAUCAGCCACACUGGGACUGAGAUACGGCCCAGACUCCUACGGGAGGCAGCAGUGGGGAAUUUUCCGCAAUGGGCGAAAGCCUGACGGAGCAACGCCGCGUGAGGGAUGAAGGCCUCUGGGCUGUAAACCUCUUUUAUCAAGGAAGAAGAUCUGACGGUACUUGAUGAAUAAGCCACGGCUAAUUCCGUGCCAGCAGCCGCGGUAAUACGGGAGUGGCAAGCGUUAUCCGGAAUUAUUGGGCGUAAAGCGUCCGCAGGCGGCCUGACAAGUCUGCUGUUAAAGCGUGGAGCUUAACUCCAUUUCAGCAGUGGAAACUGUCAGGCUUGAGUGUGGUAGGGGCAGAGGGAAUUCCCGGUGUAGCGGUGAAAUGCGUAGAUAUCGGGAAGAACACCAGUGGCGAAAGCGCUCUGCUGGGCCAUCACUGACGCUCAUGGACGAAAGCCAGGGGAGCGAAAGGGAUUAGAUACCCCUGUAGUCCUGGCCGUAAACGAUGAACACUAGGUGUCGGGGGAAUCGACCCCUCCGGUGUCG